rnacentral:ncRNA from 1 species
UCAGUGGAACAUGAAGAAAGCCAGGUGAGGGGGUCUUUCUUCAACACCUUCUUCAUUCUGAUUGAGUUUUCAUUUCCCCAGUGAAGUGAGAGAAGUUUCUGCCUCCUGCUCCUCCCUGGCACCAGGAGCCUGGCACGUGCAGGAGGGAUGUGCUGCAGGGACAGAGCAGGCUGGGGAUGUGACUGGGGUGGUACAGCUGUCACAGCCUGCCGUGGGUGUCCUGAGGGAACUCAGUGGGGACAGAACCCUCCCAUGGAGCACAAGGGCAGAAACUCACUCCAUGCCCAUUUUCAGAACAAACACAGCCCAUGAAAGUGAGGCAUCAUGAUUCUUCUGCCUUUUGGUGUUUUAAGCAGGAGGUGUUAGGAAAGUUACCACAGGGGGGUCUGGCUUGUGGCAGCCAAGUGCUCAUAGCAACCUUGCUUUUUGAUCCUUUCAUAUUGGCUCUUCCUAUCCUUGGGAAGCAGAGUUCACCCGGCACUGGAUUGCUCACCUGUCACAGGGGGUGUGAGCUGGGACUAGAUCAUUCUGAGCUGGGAUUA